GUGAUGCUCUAUGGGAGGAUACCUCAGCCAACUGACACAAGAGCGAGCCAUCAAAGAAAGCCCAGAGGAGCAGCGGCAGAGGCAGACAGCUUUUAUCCUGAUCCACCAUGACUUUACUAAGGUCUCCGUCCUUCCUGCCACAGUGCCUGAAGCCAGGAGCUCGCUGAAAGCAGCCACCCUUUGUCACAUCCAGGAGACAUGCACAAGGAUGGUUAGCCAUCACCUCACAAGCAGCAAUCCUAAUGGGUCACACUGCAUUAAAAAUUGCCUUUUAACAAAGCCAUCAGCUGGCAGAACCAUGUGGAAGUAGAAGAAGUUCAUUCUCUGACACACUGCAUAUAACCGGAAGUAUGAAACCUUGUGGCUUUCAAGAUACGGGAUUUCUCGAAAAUACGAUUUGCAGCAGAAGACAGAAAAAUGAUAAGAAAAAUUGCAUCUGCCACUGCCAAUCUAGACGUUUCCCAAUGAAACCUUCCCCGGAAAUGGUCAUUUCUCUAUUGAACUGUGCACAUAAGUUACCUACCUCGCUAAUUACUUCAAAAUUACCUUGCAAAUUACUUCAAAAAUAUUUCAAAAGGAAAUAUAAUAUAAAGGAAGUUAGCCCCCAAACAAUCCUGGUAUUCAUUAGCAGUCUCCUUUCCAAGUACUAACCAGGGUUGACACUGUUUAGCCUCCACGAUCAGACAAAAUCUGCUACCUUUAAAAUAUUUAGGCCAGAGGUCCUAGCUCUGUCUAUUAUUCAUACUUGGAUUUGGUAGAAUCUGAGGCCCCUUCCACACAGCUGUAUAAAAUUCACAUUAAACUGGAUUAUAUGGAAGUAUGGACUCAGAUAACCUAGUUCAAAGCAGAUAUUGUGGAUUAUCUGCCUUGAUAUUCUGGGUUAUAUGGCUGUGUAAAAAGACUCUGAGGUUCUCCAUGCCACUGCAAAUCCCAAACCAGUUAAUUUAACCCUCAUACCAAAGACCUAUUGUGUUAACUUUCUUGAGUUUCAGUUUGGAAUUUCAUCUGCCUUACAUAUGAGACCCAGCCCCUCCCACUGCAAACGCGUGCUUCAACAAACACACAUGAUGCAAUGUAAGCUGGAAGUGAAUCAGUAUCCCAAAGGAAAAUGUUCAUGACUCAUGCUUUUGAGGGCUUAUCUCACCACCAAUCUCUAAAGAGUUGAGAAAAGAAUGACGACAUUGUACACAGGGAUUAACUCCUGAGCAGCAGUCGCAUUGUUCCCUCCCACCCAACACUUAGGUAUCCCUCCUGAAUAUACUUCUUAGGUUUCAGUUGCCAAUUGCUUCUCAUUCUGAAAUUGAGACUAGAAUGUGAGAAAAAUCACACGGUCAGUCAGCCCUAGCUAUCAGCUGAUUCUGCAUCCACAGAUUCAACCAUCCUUGACUUCAAAUUACUCAAAAAAGGAUUCCACAAAGAAGACAAUGAGCUAUUAGAUGUAGAAAGCCUAAAUCUCCCAUAUGGGUGGCAUGCAUAUUUUGACAUACAAACGGCCAAACCAACAGGCAUAUUUAAUGACCAUUACAUAUGGAGACCAAUUCUAACACUCGGAACAGAUAUAAAAAAAGAAUUUAUACAAAGACACCACAGUGGAUGUCCCCACAUGAAGCAUACUACAAAAGGGAGAACAUCCUACGAGGGAAAUAGUUAACUUACAAGGAGCUGAUCCAGACCGACUUAGAAAACUCAGAAAUGAAACCCCUAGGAGAAAUGAACCCAAUGGGCCUUAAAUGCAGUUGGCUUCUAUGGGGAGAAUCCAUUACAGAUUUGCUGAUAAUGGAUAAAAUAACUGUACUCUCAAGAGGAGAACCUUUAGAGAACUUUGUCAAUGAAUGACCACCAAUGAUUCAACAUCUCAAUGUAAAAUUAAUCUAAAAUGUACAUAGGGGAACCUAUAAGACUAUAUAGACAAGGAGAAAAUGGAUAUUAAUUUGGAGCCUAUGCUAUCUUUAUAUGUUAUAUUUAAAUAGAAUACUGUGACCUCUUAAAGAAAAUAUAUUACCAGAGAAAUGAUUAUGGAAGACUAAUAGCUGGAAAGCAUUGCACUGUAUGCAACAAACACUCACAAAUAUAUGGCUAUUUGAAUAAAAAUAAAUAAAUAAAUAAUUUCAGUUAUCCUUUAAAAAAAGGAUUCCACAAAGCAAUCCUUGAUGCUUCCAUUUUAUACAAGGGGUACCGUUUUCCAAUGCAUUAUAUACAAUUAAAUUUAAGCAUCCGUGGAUUUUAGUAUUCAUGAAGGCUACUGAAACCAAACUUCAGCAGCUACCAAGGAGCCAUGGUAUUGUCCAAACAGGAACCUAACUAAUCUCUUGAUAUAUUAGUGAAGGAUCAAGUUACAUAAUCAGCUGUAGUAGUAAUGAGCAAAUUUUAAAUGCAAUGAUUUACCAGUUUGCCUCUACUCUCAGGCACACUUUUCAAGCUCUAAGAACACACAUGUACAUUAUAGUUGUUUUCAAUCACUAUAUACAGUAGUUGUCAGUCAUGAUUGUGCAUGAGCCCUUCUUGUGGA